UACGGGGGGGGCAAGCGUUGUUCGGAAUUACUGGGCGUAAAGGGUUCGUAGGCGGCCAACUAAGUCAGACGUGAAAUCCCUCGGCUUAACCGGGGAACUGCGUCUGAUACUGGAUGGCUUGAGUUCGGGAGAGGGAUGCGGAAUUCCAGGUGUAGCGGUGAAAUGCGUAGAUAUCUGGAGGAACACCGGUGGCGAAGGCGGCAUCCUGGACCAAGACUGACGCUGAGGAGCGAAAGCCAGGGGAGCAAACGGG
rnacentral:rRNA from 1 species